rnacentral:rRNA from 1 species
CGCCUGCCGGCGACCGGCGCACGGGUGAGUAACACGUAUGGAACCUGCCCUGUACUGGGGGAUAAGCGGGGGAAACCCGUCUAAUACCGCGUAACGCGGCCUAGGGACAUCCCAAGGCCGCCAAAGGGAGCAAUCCCGGCCACGGAUGGGCAUGCGGCGCAUUAGCUAGUCGGCGGGGUAACGGCCCACCGAGGCGACGAUGCGUAGGGGUUCUGAGAGGAAGGCCCCCCACACUGGUACUGAGACACGGACCAGACUCCUACGGGAGGCAGCAG